rnacentral:rRNA from 1 species
GAUGAACGCUAGCGGCAGGCUUAACACAUGCAAGUCGAGGGGUAUGCCGAUUUAUCGGCAGAGACCGGCGCACGGGUGCGUAACGCGUAUGCAAUCUACCUUUCACAGAGGGAUAGCCCAGAGAAAUUUGGAUUAAUACCUCAUAGUAUAGCAAUUUCGCAUGAAACCACUAUUAAAGUUCCAACGGUGAAAGAUGAGCAUGCGUCCCAUUAGCUAGAUGGUAAGGUAACGGCUUACCAUGGCUACGAUGGGUAGGGGUCCUGAGAGGGAGAUCCCCACACUGGUACUGAGACACGGACCAGACUCCUACGGGAGGCAGCAGUGAGGAAUAUUGGUC